AACCUUCUCUGGAAUGCUGUGUUAUGUUGGGCUGUGACUUCUAUGGAAUUCAAUUCCCAUUUACCAAGGGCUCCCACUUAUUUUAAUAUAUGUUAGGAAAUAAAGAAGAAAGGCAAGCAGCUCAUUUAGGUUGUGAGUUAGGCUUUGCCAAAUAGCAAAGGCCAAAGAAGAUGUUAAGCUUAAACUUAAUCUGAUUAGCAUCCAGUUUUUCCAGUUGAAGAACUGGAGGAAGUGGGGAACCCAGCCCGGGGAUACAACGUGGCAUCCAUGAUGCUUUGGCCCUCGGUCCUGCUUUGCCUGCACUGUGCUGAGAAGAACUCUCUCUGACCUGGCCUUCAGUUCCCAUCCAACUUGCUGUGAGCUUGUAUUCUCCACAUCUGUCCAGACUCUAUGUAUUAAGAGAUGAACUUCUGCUUGGCCUCCCCACCCAAGUCCUCAGCUCCAUGCAUGGUGAAGAUUACCGGGGUUUUAAACUCAGAGUUCAGGCUGGAGAGAUGACUCAGCCGUUAAAGGCUAGGCUCACAACCAAAAAUAUAAACUCAAAGUUCUUGGUAUUACUCUGGUAUCUCUCUUUUCUAUUCCAGUCUUUGGCUGCAUGAGAAGCACAUGGAAUAGCAUAUAAUUCCCAAAGUUUUUCUUCUAUAAGAUAGUGGCAAGAGAUCCAAAUAAUUUAAGCUCUGAGGUGAACUCUAUGAAAUAAAUGGUACCCUCCAUACUCUGCUCCCAUCCUCCUCAUUAGCAGGUUGUCCUGGAUAGACCAUUGAGUUCCCGGGAUGGGUAGGUCCAAGCUGUGCGGAAACGUGCUGCGUCUUAUGUUCUUAUCUGUCCUAGGUAGUUAUGUCCCCUCUAAAAGACAGGAGUCACAUGAUCACCUGGAGAAGCUGACGGCCACAAUGAUGUGCUCCCAGCUCUGAAGAAAUCACAGCAGAAGGAAUGGGUCAUGUUAUGGGAAAAUCAUCAGCAAAAAUCAGUUCUAUACACCAGGGAGAGAUUUUUAACAAAGAGAAGAGAAACAAAGAGGUUCUCUUGGGUCCAAAGCAGCUCACAAGGCCGUGCUGCUGACGGUGUCGUAAACGACAGCUGGAAACCAACCCAGGCAGAACCCUGACUGGCAAACGGAAGGACUGCUAUCACGGAACCGAAACAGAGACCUAAACCCAGCAUUCCUCAGGAAUCUCACGAGGCAGGUUCCUGUCUGUCAGGAAGGCCAUUACUUUCCUCAUCUGUCCCCAGUGGUCAACCACCUUAGACAAAGGGCAUCUAGUUCCUGAUUAACUCGAAAGGCCCCCAGGGUAGCUCCCCGGCUCUUCUGGACUGCACCCCUCUGCUGGCUGCUACCAGUCCCCAUAAAAGCGACAGGGCUUUUCCAGCAGGGUGCUGUUCUCCAUUCCCUGGCAGUUUGUGUUCCACAAGAGCUUUCCUUUCUACCCAUGGGGUGGUCUAGUUUGGUGGUUUCACUGUGCCUCGCUUCCAGGUUCCAGGUUCUCUUCCCUUCUGCCUACAUUUCUUAGUAUGUCCCGUAGGAUAAGUCAUAAGAGAAGGUGUGUGUGUGUGUGUGUGUGUGUGUGUGUGUGUGUGUGUGUGUGUGUGUGGUGUGUGUACAAAGAAAGCAGCUGUAAAAUGGAAAUAGAGAUUUCUAUCCUGAUCAAAGAAAGACCGUGCAGAGGUCCGACACAGACCGCCCUUGAAGAACAGCGCAGUGAUGGCAACAGAGCUCAAGCGCUGAGUACCAUAAGGGAACAGUAAUUGUGAAAUACAGCAGCUUUCAGGCAUUUCAACAAGGAAUGCUGAGGCCUUUCAAUCCAUAGCUCUUCCAUCCAAAACUGCCUUAUAACAUCUGACUUCAAUGCUCCGGUUAAAGUGGCAAAUAACAGUUUCUGGAGAAACCAUCACCACAUUGACCCUGACCCGACAGUAGAAGCUGUCUGAAUUUUGAUGAGCAGAACCUGUGCAAGGCCAAGCAGUGAGAAACACAGUCAGUAACCCAACAAGGUGGAUGCUGUGAGGGAGGCUCUGGAAGCCUCGCCUGCCACAAUCAGAGGGAUGCUCUUAGAUGGAAGGACCAAAGACAGUGCCUACAAUCAGAAUCCCAGAGAGUGCUGUGUGGCAGUCACUCAUGUGAAGAAGUCGGUGCUCUCCUGCAUGUAAAUAUCAGGGCUCAAGAAAAGAGGAGGAAAGCCAAUUAGUAGAUGUGAUGUGUGAACUGGAUUCGGCAGCAAACCAAGGCCGCCCACGCCUCUUGUGUCUUCAACGACUUACUAGUGAACAACGUAACAACACUAGCCUGAUAACCACAGGUCUGAGAUGAAAGGAACGCUGGCUAAAGAUGUAUUAUUCUAAGAAAGAUAAACUACUCUUGGCUGAUUCCAGCCUGUCUUCCACACAUCAGGAUUGUGUAAGGCUCUGGCACAUGCGUCGCAUGGUACAUCAAGCACAGGAAGCCUUACUUUUUUUUUUUUUGUUUGUUUGGUUUUUCGAGACAGGGUUUCUCUGUGUAGCUUUGCACCUUUCCUGGGACUCACUUGGUAGCCCAGGCUGGCCUCGAACUCACAGAGAUCCGCCUGGCUCUGCCUCCCAAGUGCUGGGAUUAAAGGCGUGCGCCACCACCGCCCGGCUAUGGAAGCCUUACUUUUUCUCUUGGGAAAAUAUUGCUCCGGCAAUAAUCUCUGGGGCUGGGAAACACUGGUCCCUUCCCCACUCGGUACUGGUUUGGGGCAUGUCUGCUGUAAGGUUACCCAUUCUGCUCUAUUCACCUUCAUGAAGCAUUUGCCAUGUGUGUGUGUUUGGGGCAGGAAGCAAAAGAAACACAAACAAGACCAAAACCCCUAGGAACCGGCAAAACAUCAUAAAACGUACCUUGUUCCCUACUUCUGCAGAGACAAAGGCCGGCAGACUUGUGAGCCUCUGGCAGCCCUUAGGUGGUUUAGAAUCCCCCUCCCACCACUAGUUUUGAAAGCUCUUCUUGGCUUAGUCUCAUUUUUUCCACCCUUUCUUCAUAUCUACAUUCACACUAUCAGAGGCCUAGUUUGUCCCCUAGAAAUUCAGGUCCUCUGGGGCUUCAGCACCUGAACCACCUCAGACCAGUAGGAGAAGGUAGAGAGGAAAACUUCAGAGCCCAGCUGCUGGGCUGGCUGGAAGCCUGGCCUGCUCUCUUCAGAGGAAGAGGCCUGAAACUUUAGGAUCUGACCUCUUGUUGUCUGGCUUGUCUCUUCCUUCACUAUUCCUAAGAGGCACAACAGGUCUGCUCAGGCUCCCAUGACUCCAUCCUCCAGUACUUGACCCGUGGCUGCAGACUGAGAGAAUUGUGCCUGUCGCAGUUUCCAAGACGACAUUUUGGCUGCAUAAAGACUGUGUCUCUGCAGCUGCUUCCAGCCUCCAAAACGACCAGCCUUCAAAACCUGCCAGAGAUGUCGUUCCCAUUGGAGACUUCUUUCUGCAGAUUUCUACAAGGGACUGCUCUUGACUGGCACUCUGGGGUCAUCCAAGAACUUUCCAGCUGUAACCCUGCUGGGGAUCUGAACUUGGGUCCUCAUGCCUGUCUAACAGAUACAUAACCAGCUAAACUAUCUCCCCAGUCCCCUGUAAAGCACUACCAUAGUCACACACACACACACACACACACACACACACACACACACACACACCAUGAAGUCAGUUUGGAAAUUUUGUCUUUAGUUCCUAAUAGUAUGUAUGAAAUAAAGUUUAAGCUGGUGGUGGUAGUACAUGCCUUUAAUCCCAACCCUCAGAAGGCAGAGGCAGGUGGAUCUCUGUGAGUUCGAGGCCAACCUGGUCUACAGAGUGAGUUCCAGGACAGCCAAGGCUACAUAGAGAAACCCUGUCUUGAAAAAAAAAAAAAAAAAAAAAAGAAGACAAAGCUUUUCAAUCAUAAUCCCCUAACAACAUAUGGAGCUGGAACCUGUGUAGUCAAAACUGAAAACUACCAAACUCAAAAAGAACUCAAGUUGUUUUGUUGUCUUAUUUUUGAGACAGAAUAUCAAAAACUUAGUUUAGGCUGGCCUGGAACUUACUGUUUAGCCCAGACAGACCUGAAACUCACAAUCCUCUUGCCUCAACCUCCCAAAUGGUAGUAUUAUAUGGACUGUAGCUGUGUACCCUCAUGCUUGACGUGUUCUCAAGACACAUGGACAGAGCCAAAAAUGCAUUUACCUGGGCAAUUAUGU